GGAGCUGGAAAGGGUUGGGGGAGGGAAUGUGGCCUUAAGAAGAGAAAGAAGGAGAAGAAUGCAGACCCUUCUACCAGGGCUAGGAGGCCAGGCCUAAAAAGGAAUAAAGAGGCAAGGCUUAGACAGAGGGAGGGGUAUAAAGACCCCAAUCCCAAGAAGAAUAAAGGAAGAGAGAGGGAAGGAGAUUCAGACCCGGGAAGCAGCUGGGGAAGGGGUAGAGAUCCUAACCUGAGGAAGAAGCAGGGAAGGAGGUGAAGUCAUCAGCCUCAGAGGAAAAGACAGGACCCCUUUCCUCCCCCCAGAUCUGUAGGAAGAAGAGGAACAGCCUGCUCCACAGAGAGUAAGCUUCAUGCCCAGCAUGGAGCCCAAUGCAGGCCUCAAACUCACAAUCGUGAGAUCAAGACCUGACUCCAGAUCAAGAAUCAGAGGCUCAACCUACUGAACGACCCAGACACGCCCAGAAAAGCUGAAUCUUGAACAGAGCCUUGAAGAAAGUGCACCCAGCAGCUAUCCUCAAGGCCUUGCAGAAAGCACAGUCCCACUUUGGGGCCCCCUCACUGCUUCUGACACAUUCAGAGCCGUGUGAGAUCACACAAAGCCAUCAGGAAUACCUGCAGUUCCCAACCUGGAGAACUGAAAACAUUCCCCAGCAUGCUGCCAGCGUGAAGAAGCUCUGUAAUUACAGACAUGCAGGGGUUUGUGUUCCUGACCUCACUCAUCGAUGAAACGCUUCCGUCCCCUUCACUUCCCACGGUGUCUUUAUCAAGGAAGCGGGAAGCUGGGCCCAUCAGAAAACCCAGGAUCCUGUGGAAAAGCUGCAUUAUAAUCGAUAGCCUCGUAAAUAAAUAAAUAGUCAACGCAUCCUGUCUCCAGCUCAGAGCUUCUUCAGGAAAAUCGAACCUCGACCCACUUCUGCUCGCUCAUUCUGGAUUUCUAUGGAGGCCUCCAGAGGGAAGGAACACUUACAGGUCAUCUUGGGCAUCCCCCUGCCUCUGGGCCGGCCUGCCAUCAGUCAUGACCUGAAGGAAAUGAUUAGGAGGGCUGAGGGUAACUAGAGGAAGCUGAGAAUUCCUCUGCUCUGCUCUGCUCUGCUCUGCUCUGCCUCGGCAGGAAGAGGGGACAGGAGGAGGGGAAAUGGGAAGGCCAGUGGCUCUCAUUCCAAAGGAGGAAAUGUUCCAGCUCCUCAAAUAAGCCAGCUCCAGAACUCGCCAGCUCCCACCCAGGUCCACUCCAGUUUGGAAACUCCAUGGCUGCUUCCACAGCAGGAACAAAGAUGGACCUCUAUCCUGCCAGUGAGGCCUGCCUCCUGGGGCAGAAGGUACCUACUGUCGCCUCUGCCAGGACCCAGACCCAGGAGCCUCCCAGAGGCCUCCCUCUGCACCACUGCCCCGGGCGGGCCUCACCAAGAGCCUCCCACCUUCCCGCACAGUCUCCCCUCCUCAUGCAAGAUGCCGGCUGCUGAGACGGGAGGGAUAAACAAACUGUGGCUCUGGCCCAGCCCUCUGCCGGCUGGCUGCUCCCCGCCCCCCUCAAUCCGCAGUGCACAGUCGCUCUGUUCUCCUGCCAACUUGGCAGCUCGUCUCUGCUGUUACUAUCAACACCUCCCAGGGAAGAGGGAGAGGAGUGAGUUCUGAUCGCCUGGCACACCGAGCAGCAAAUUCGUGUCAGAGCCAGCCCCAGAAUGUCUCCCAAGCUCCCAAGACUCCUGGUGGGGAAGGAAAGGUGGGCCUGAGCAGAGAGGCCCCCACUGCAAGCCAGGCUUCAGCAGAGUGCCUGGGCCUGGCCAAAGCUGCAGCCCCCAGGAGCAGGCAGCUCUGAGAGAAGGGACCGCCAGGCCGGGCAGGUGCACAGGAAGGGGUUCUGUCUCACCCCGGCACUUGCCACAGUCCAAGGCCAUGAAGCCCUGGAGUGCGUGGACUAUACCUCCUUUCUUCCAUCUUUCUUGGACUCAUGCAGAGCUCUUGCCCUCCUUGUCAGAUUGGAUUGGGAGACCCAAAGGGGCCACAUUUUACCCCCAAAUGGAAACUUCUCGCAGACAGAAACCAUAUUUCCUUUUCCCAACCCUCUUCCCCAGGCUCUUACACCCUGCCUAGUUGGCUCCAUAAAGCAGCCGAUGCCCUUCUCAGCUCCUGCCGGACUCCUGGGGCCCAGUUAGGAUGAAGAAAGAACCCAUAUUUCCAGGGGCCCAGUGCUCCACCUCAAGCAAGGUCCGCUCACAGUACAGGACUGGGGGUGGUCGCUGUGUGGCCUCUCCCAGGAGGCAUGGCCUUCUUAGCUUUGUCACUGCUCGUGAAGGGAAGACCUUUGUGCCCUGCUUUUGGUACCAACAAAAGUGGUAGGUUCAGGGGAAACUUCCUAACGCUCACACCACCCAGUCAGCUAGUCUACCCAAGGAUGAGUUAAAUGCUCCCAAUCUUUAUGUGCUACCAGCCUGUCUCCUCCUCUGUAACCCAGCAAUGACCUUUCAUAACUCACUGGGUUCUAGCUGAUGGUGAUAAAGACACGAAGACGAUGCUUAUACUUCUAGGGGUGCGCCUGGCCCUUGGAAUCAGUAUGUUUUCCUUCCUUCUUUCCUAUCUUUCUACCUUCCUUCCUUUCUCCCUUCCUCCCUCCCCCAUUCCUUCCUUCCUUCCUUCCUUCCUUCCUUCCUUCCUUCCUUCCUUCCUUCCUUCCCUCAUUUCUUUCUCUGCUCCUUCCAGGACCCCGUCUCCCAAAUGUGAAGCCAAUCCUAAGACCAUCUCCAUUCCCUGCUCCAAAAAAAGUCUAGAAACUACCACCAGGAGAGAUAUAGCCAUUUCCUGGUAGGAACUCCCUAGGUCCCAGAGGGCCAGCUGGCUUUCCAUGGCCAGGAAACAGGAAAAGAGAAUUCAUUCAGUGGGCUGGGAUGUAAAUAAGCCAUAAAAGGCUGCACCAUUCUAGGCUGCACCUGUGAGCAUCCCUCGGCUGAAGCCCUGUCAGCGUUUCCAUGACAAACUCGUAUUUCUGGAUGCCUCUCUUCCAGCUUCAAGAGCAUGCCUUGUGCUGAGACUUGACACUGAAAAUGCUUUCAUGUUUUUUUCCCCUUAAAAAAGAUUGCACACUCUAAAAAUCCACCUGCUCAUUA